GCGUCUGUUCGGUGAGAAAACCAAGCCCUCGAAGCCCGCAGUCCAUGGCAGUGAGUGGUCGGCCCCCUGCAGGAUGCAGGCUGCUCCUCGGGGACUGAGCCCAAGGGGCCAGAUGCCCACCCGCCUCCCCCAAGACUCCCGUAUUCAGACGACACCAAACGCCUACUCUCCCAAGCACAAACCCAAGCUCCAGAAGCAUAUGGGGUUUCCUAACGCCUACAGAAUUAAAGUCAGACUCACUCUCGUUCACGGUUCUCUUUGCACUGCACUGUGAGUUCCUUGAGGAUUCAUCUCCGCAUCAUCAGCUUCUACUACAGGGCAUGGCCACGAUGGAAAUGACAGACAAAAACAACUGAAAAGAAAUGACUGUUUAUUAUUCUCAAGCAAGUCACAUCAACUUCUGUGUAUAUCCUUCUCAGAAAAGUAAAUUUCACACUCUUGCAGCAAAUGGAACAUGAAACAUUUGAAAGGCUCCAGUGAAAAAUCUGUUCAAACUCCAUGCCAGCUGCUGUCAUUUUAAAAGCCACAGAAGCAUCUCCCCAGCGAACCUGCCUCAGACAAGGUAAUGAGUUUUUCCUGGAUCUCGCUGCAGCCAGAGGUCUUAGCAGGGCAUCUGCUGCCUUUGGAAGCAGAUGGCCGGUUCCAGCAGAACCUGUGUUUGCCCUCCUUCCUUCUCCUCCAAACAGGCAUGAGCGGCUCCAGAUCUGCUCGGCCAUCAAAAUGGAAGGAGUCUCAGAACUAGCCUCAUGGACGAGGGCUGAGCCCCGCACAGUGUGGAAAGGAGACCAAGGGAGACCCCAAGAACACCCCCACACCUGGCUGACCAGGCCCCUUGCGCUGCAGAGGAAGCGACACAGCUGGAAGGGACAGGAUUUAUGUUGCAUACUUGAACUACAGCGAGUGUAAGACUGG